GUUUUCUACAACUCAAAUAACCCGAUUUCUAUAAUAAUUCGCCGACUUUUGCAAUAAAGCAGUAAACUCGAACUUAACUCGCUUGUCCGCGUUAUACUUCCGAACAGCCUCAAUUCGCCACGGCGUGGCUCCGGUUUGCGCAAACGCGGCCGCAUACUCGGCAACUCGCCCGAGUUUUAGAACAUGGGUUAAAACCCAUAGAUUUCAAACCAAUCACCUUCGUCUAGAUUUAUUCCAAACAGGAAUUUAACUUCCCAAGGUAUAGUUGCGUCGAUGGUUGUACCCUGUUGUAAUAGGUGAAAUGAUAUGUCAGGAUAAUAUAUGAAAAAGAAAACAGAUUCACAAAAAUAUACGAUUCUCACUUUUUCAUCUCCAAUAACCAAACAUGUACUGGGUCGAAUUGAACCAAUGGGUGUCUUCCAU
rnacentral:lncRNA from 1 species